UACGUAGGUGGCGAGCGUUAUCCGGUUUUACUGGGUGUAAAGGGCGCGUAGGCGGGGAUGCAAGUCAGAUGUGAAAUCUAUGGGCUCAACCCAUAAACUGCAUUUGAAACUGUAUUUCUUGAGUGCUGGAGAGGUAGACGGAAUUCCUUGUGUAGCGGUGAAAUGCGUAGAUAUAAGGAAGAACACCAGUGGCGAAGGCGGUCUACUGGACAGUAACUGACGCUGAGGCGCGAAAGCCGGGGGAGCGAAC
rnacentral:rRNA from 1 species